rnacentral:misc_RNA from 1 species
AACAUCGCGCACCUGCGGGAACCUGCGGAAGGAUCAUUACAGAGUUGCAAGACUCCCUAAACCAUUGUGAACCUACCUUCUACCGUUGCUUCGGCGGGCGGGCCCAGCGCCCCCCCCGGCCCCCCGCGGGCGCCCGCCGGAGGAUACCCAAACUCUUGACAUUAGUGGCCUCUCUGAGUAUUCUUUACUGAAUAAGUCAAAACUUUCAACAACGGAUCU